rnacentral:rRNA from 1 species
AACGAACGCUGGCGGCAGGCCUAACACAUGCAAGUCGAGCGAGGACUUCGGUCCUAGCGGCGGACGGGUGAGUAACGCGUGGGAACGUGCCCUUUGCUUCGGAAUAGCCCUGGGAAACUGGGAGUAAUACCGGAUGAGCCCUUUGGGGGAAAGAUUUAUCGGCGAAGGAUCGGCCCGCGUUGGAUUAGGUAGUUGGUGGGGUAAUGGCCCACCAAGCCGACGAUCCAUAGCUGGUUUGAGAGGAUGAUCAGCCACACUGGGACUGAGACACGGCCCAGACUCCUACGGGAGGCAGCAGUGGGGAAUCUUAGACAAUGGGGGAAACCCUGAUCUAGCCAUGCCGCGUGAGCGAUGAAGGCCUUAGGGUUGUAAAGCUCUUUCAGCUGGGAAGAUAAUGACGGUACCAGCAGAAGAAGCCCCGGCUAACUCCGUG